rnacentral:tRNA from 1 species
ACCAUUAUAGUGUAAAUAACACAUUACAUUUUCAUUGUAAAAAUAUUAUUCAUAAUUAAAGGUG